UACGGAGGGUGCAAGCGUUAUCCGGAUUCAUUUGGGUUUAAAGGGAGCGUAGGUGGCCUUAUAAGUCAGUGGAUGAAAUCGUCUCGGCUUAACCGAGAAAUUGCCAUUGAUACUGGUAGGGCUUGAGUACAGUUGCUGUGGGCGGAAUAUGACAUGUAGUGGUGAAAUACAUAGAGAUGUCAUAGAACACCGAUUGCGAAGGCAGCUCACAAAACUGUAACUGACACUGAGGCUCGAAAGUGCGGGGAUAAACAGG
rnacentral:rRNA from 1 species